CUUUUUACUGACUCUGAUCACUCACUCUCAGACUGUAGUUUUGAGAAGUUGGAGUCUUUUUACUGACUGUUCACUGACUCUCGUUCAUUUUAACUCUUGCGGUGCUGUAGCCCUCUGUGCGCGAUGUAAACGCGACAUAUGAACGAGCCACUAACUGCGUCUUUCUCUCUGGAGAGCAGCAGGAAGGAGCUUUCAGAGCACGAAGACCAGUUUAAAGUUUGAAUCCAUAAAUAUUGUAAACAGAAAAACUGUCCAAACAUCAUUCAAACUUCGACUUCACCACAUGUGUCUAACAGCUUUAGUCACGUUUGACAGCAAAUAUUUGAUGGACAAGUCAAAUCUGAAGUCAUCUUCAAUAUUCAACUAUCCAGCAGUGUAUAAAGUGGUUAAAGGAGCUCUUGAAGUGUUCCAUAUCAAAGUGUGUGUGAGCUGAUGUGGAUGUGAGUUGAGCAGCAUGAAUCAGAGUGAGGACAGAGAGGAGGGAGUCCCUCCCUCUAAAAGCACUCUGUGUGGGGAACAUGACAGCCAGACCAAAGCUCAGAGCCCACAACAGACUCUGAGACCAGACUCUGCUGGACCUGGACCUGGACCUGGACCUGGACCUGAACCCAGCUGUGUGUCCUUCAGGAGUGACGGGUCCAUUGGUCGCUUCAUUGAUUUUAAACAAAAACAUUUAUCAGACAAAAAGAUCCAUCAGAGACCAGACUCUGCUGGACCUGGACCUGGACCUGAACCUGGACCCAGCUGUGUGUCCUUCAAGAGUGACGGGUCCAUUGGUCGCUUCAUUGAUUUUAAA